AGCACAUCCUUUGUACUCAUUUAGAAACGUAACUCUGAAUUUCUCUGUCUCUGCAAAGGGGUAAUUCCUGGGUGUUCUUCAGUGGUGAGUGAAGGCAUUUUUGCACAUGCUAUCGGAUGAACUGAGUCUAGAAUUUUGGUGAGACAUAUUUGAUACCGAAAAAAGUGAACCCCAGGAGAGGGCUCCAAGCUUCAGCUCUUGUCUGAGACUGUCCUGCACUGUGGCUGUAUGAUUACCAUAGCCCUUGACUUCUGAAUGGCAAAUGGCACCUGAAAGAGAAAUCACUAAGUCACAGGGUCGGCUCCAUCCUACUCCUCUAUACUAUACAGAUGUCAGUCACCUUUUGUCCGUGACCUUGUGCCUCAGAUGGAGCUUUAAACGUCGUUGACUUUCUGCUUGCUUCUCUGCUUACUGAGAGAAUGUUGACUCUUCAGCCUUCUGCAGUGUUUGCCCCAAAACUGAUUGCUGGAUUCCUCACCUGUGGUAUAUGCUGGGUUACUCUGUUCUGAGUUCACUCUCUUAGUUGGAACAGAUUGUCUUUAUUAUUCUGAAUGAGUAUAAAUUUUCCACAGGUGACCUUCCUGCUUCCUGCUUCCUGCUUCCUGCUUCCUGCUUCCUGCUUCCUGCUUCCUGCUUCCUGCUUCCUGCUUCAGACUGCAGAUAAAGCCACAAUGUAAGGUUCCAGGUGGCCACACUUAUUUGGAGACACCAUUUAACACGGUUCUGCUUCUACUUCCAUGAGAACCUAGUGAAGAAGACACAGCCAGAGCUUUGAUCAAAGAUUCCAAAUGCAAAUACAACUAACCACCCAACUGGUCCCAUCAGCCAAUGUAUCUCUUUGUUACCUCAAGGGAGAUUGAUUUACGCUUUCAUCAAUAAAUCUUCAUAUUUUCAA
rnacentral:lncRNA from 1 species